UCAGCCGAGUGGCCUGCGCCGCGGACCUCAGGGGAGAAGAGGUGGCCUGACCCGCAGCCCCCUGGAGAGGGGAGGGCGACGGAGGAGCGCAGUGUGACCUGGGGAGCAGGAGGCGGUUUAAAAGAGGGACCCGCCCAGAAAUCCUACAAUUUUUCAAGCAUUAACUGAAGCAGUCUAAUUUAUGAAGAUUUAUAUGUCGGUGCAGUGGAAAGAGCAGUGACUUAAGCCGGCCUCUCUCCCUACCAGCCCACCCUGCAGGAAAGUGCACCCACCGCUUCAUCAAAGCCCAUGUAGAGGAACUGCUGGUACCACUGCUGCACCUCUGGCCGAGUCCGAUCCCACAGCUGCCGCUUCUGGCGCUUCAUGCUGCUCAGGAACUCUUUGGCUCUAUUCUCAUCCAUGGCCACUUUUGUCUCAGUCAGAGCAGGUGCUGAAAUGAGCAAUUUCCACCCCGAAAUUGCAAAGAAUGAUUUUUUAAAAAACAGCAGUUUUUGUUGUUGUUGUUGUUGUUGUUGUUGUUGUUUCUAGAAUCGUACUGUGGGUUGAACUACUUUUUAAAAUUUAUGUGUAGUAAUUGUACAUAUUUAUGGGGUACAGUGUGAUAACUCAGUACACGUGCAAUGUAUAAUGAUUCAGUUGAUAAUUAGCAUUACCAUUUCCUUAACCAUUUAUUAUUUCUUCAUGUUGGGAAGGUUUGAACUCCUCUCUUGGAGUUCUUUAUAAAAUAUGUAACAAAUU